AGUAAGGACCCAACUGAGCCAACAGGAGCCAAUUGUGGUCACUGACUCCAACUGGGUGGUCAGGGCCUGGGAGUCUGAAGGACAGGGCUGCUCUAGAUGGGAGAGCAAUGUUCAAAUGAAGGGAGGGCAGUGUCCCUGUGAAAAGAAUCAUGGCAGGGCCCUUGACUGCCCUCCUUUGAGACCUUCUACCCUCAGAAGCUUUCAGCAAUAGAAGGCAGUCAGGGGCUGGGCUUCUGGAGGGGCUGCCACACCCCUUGCUGUGACGGCCAGGUGCCUAUCAGCUUGGGAGAGGUUGUGUUGGCCAGAAGGCUCCUGUGGGGUCCCAUCCCUCAGGCAGUGAUCUCUCUGGCCUUGAUGGCGGGGCGGGGAAGGAACCCUAUUUAAGGCAGAUGGGUUCAGAAUUCUGUCCCUGUCCACUGUGUCUCCUGGGCAGCUGUGGAGGGCAGUGGCCACUCCAGGCGUGGACUUGCCUGGGAGAGAUGUUUGGGGCUACCACCCUCAUACUAGCUGCCAAAGAAAAUAUUUUUUUGCAGGUUUCCUGCGACCGAGAAUGAAACUCAACACCCAGCAGGAUGAGCUGUGUAGGGCGGGGAUGGAGGCUUGGCUCAGGGAUGGCAGGGCUCCGGCCACACCAGGGCCUACAGGUCCUGGUGGCUGUGAGGGGGCUGGGAAGUUAUCAUGGACAUCUUCACAUGUCAUUAAGCGUUUUCCUGCAAUUCCACUUGGAAUGUCUGCACAGCAUUCCAACGUAGCUCUCUCCCUGGGAGGCAGAAUGCGGUUGGCAGUGGCAGCUCCAGGCUUGGUGGCCCUUAUAGCUCCCAGCCCCAAAGAGUAAGCAGGUGUCCUCAGCCGUUGCCAUGGAAAAUACCUGAGGAAGGCUCUGAUUGGCCAGGCUUGGAUCCUGUGCCCAUCCUUAAGCCAAUCCCUGAGGCCAGCAGGAUUGAGGACUUUGAUUGGCCAGGCCUGAGCCAUGUGCCCAUCCUGCAGCCAGGAGGAGGCAGCUUAAGGGAUGCUGAGGAGACGAUAAGCAGAGAUCCCCCAGGCUGCAAGCUAACAGGAACUCCACACAUAUGACUGGGAAAAUGCCCCCUGAUAUCUUGGGUCUAAGGCUGCAAUCUGUGAGAUCCAGCCCUUGCUCCUGAAGAAGCCUAUAGUUUUGGGGAGACCCCAAAAUAUGGAAAACUUAGUUUAAAAAGGGUUCAGUGUCAAACAUGAGGUCAACACUGCAGGAGGCCUUUGCUGCGGGACAGACCUGGGUUUAAGGCCCAUUUCCACCAUGACCUCAGCCAAUCUCUUUUCUCUUCUGGAGCUGAGCUCCCUUCUGCGUAAAGUGGGAAUAAAAACACCUGCCACACUCA